rnacentral:rRNA from 1 species
GAUGAACGCUGGCGGCGUGCCUAAUACAUGCAAGUCGAGCGAACGGACGAGAAGCUUGCUUUUCUGAUGUUAGCGGCGGACGGGUGAGUAACACGUGGAUAACCUACCUAUAAGACUGGGAUAACUUCGGGAAACCGGAGCUAAUACCGGAUAAUAUUUUGAACCGCAUGGUUCAAAAGUGAAAGACGGUCUUGCUGUCACCUAUAGAUGGAUCCGCGCUGCAUUAGCUAGUUGGUAAGGUAACGGCUUACCAAGGCAACGAUGCAUAGCCGACCUGAGAGGGUGAACGGCCACACUGGAACCUGGAACCGGUCCAAGCUCCUAAGGGAAGGAGCAGGAGGGAAUCUUCCGCCAUUGGCGGAAGCCUGACGGAGCAAAGCCGCGGGAGUUAAGGAGGUCUUCGGAUUUGAAAACUCUGUUAUUAGGGAAGAACAUAUGUGUAAGUAACUGUGCACAGCUUGACGGUACCUAAUCAGAAAGCCACGGCUAACUUCGUG